UACAGAGGACUCAAGCGUUGUUCGGAUUUAUUGGGCGUAAAGGGUGUGUAGGUGGCGCCGUAAGUCGGGUGUGAAAUUUCGGAGCUUAACUCCGAAACUGCAUUCGAUACUGCGGUGCUUGAGGACUGGAGAGGAGACUGGAAUUCAUGGUGUAGCAGUGAAAUGCGUAGAGAUCAUGAGGAAGACCAGUGGCGAAGGCGGGUCUCUGGACAGUUCCUGACACUGAGACACGAAGGCCAGGGGAGCAAACGGG
rnacentral:rRNA from 1 species